AGUAAGUUACUGCUUCAAAACAGAAGAUAUGGCAGAACAUAGAACAAAGAUGCAGUUUUCAUUCACAAUUCAACACUGGGGUUAUAACCAUAUAUCAACUUUAGCAAAACAUUACCAUUAUCUGAUACUAAAUUGGAAACACCCAAGUCCCUAAAACAGAAAAAUCACAUGAGAACUCCAGCAUUCAGCAACAAAUUAAACGUAAAAGGGAUCAAGAUAUCAAGAAAUCAGAACCACAUCCUCUACAGCAACACCAAAGUGUAAAUAAAAAACCAAGAAAUAUAUGCUACAAGAAUCA
rnacentral:lncRNA from 1 species